CAGUACAGGAAGGGAACAGACGUCACCCAGCAUUGCGCAGCACUCCUCUGUUGUAUAAUAUAUAAUACAUAAUAAUAUAUUAUAUUAUAUUAUAUAUAAUAAUUAUAUAAUAUAAUAUAUAAUAAUAUAUUAUAUAUUAUAAAAUAUAAAACAUAAGUGAAAUACUUUUAAAUGAAUGUUUACUUCAUAUUCUUUUAAAAAUUUUGAAAAUUUUAUUUUUAAUAGGCAUCCAAGAGAGAAGAAUAUUUUAUUUUCUUAACUUCAAUAUUAGAUGCAUUGAACAUUUUAUCCAGGAUUGAGAAAGAUUUUAGCUAUUUCACAUCCUCCCAAGAUAGUAGGAAGUUGUCUGCGCAUAUUUUUUUUUUCUCAAGGCUUCUCUGUACUCAGCCAUUAUUUAAUUAAACACCAGCCAUAUGCUGGGAUCUGCUGGUUCUCUGCUUGACGCAUUGCCAGCCUGGUGGCCAUUGCCCCUAAAACCUUUUUAUAAGAUGUUCGCAGUAGUUAGGAAUUGAUGUAUGUGUGUUUUUCUUUCUAUUUUUUUAAGUGGGUGUAUUUGUUAGAAAUUGUGCUCAGCUAUGACUAACAGCUACAGUGAUUGAAAUAUCAAGGGGAGGCCAGGCGCAGUGGCUCAUGCCUGUAAUCCCAGCACUUCGGGAGGCUGAGGAGGGCAGAUCACAAGAAAGAACGUAUGAGGUCAAGAGAUCGUGACCAUCCUGGCCAACAUGGUGAAACCCCGUCUUUACUAAAAUAUUAUAAAAAAUUAGCCAGGCUUGGUGGUGCACGCCUGUAG
rnacentral:lncRNA from 1 species